ACGAACGCUGGCGGCGUGCUUCACACAUGCAAGUCGAACGGAAAGGCCCUGCUUUUGUGGGGUGCUCGAGUGGCGAACGGGUGAGUAACACGUGAGUAACCUGCCCUUGACUUUGGGAUAACUUCAGGAAACUGGGGCUAAUACCGGAUAGGAGCUCCUGCUGCAUGGUGGGGGUUGGAAAGUUUCGGCGGUUGGGGAUGGACUCGCGGCUUAUCAGCUUGUUGGUGGGGUAGUGGCUUACCAAGGCUUUGACGGGUAGCCGGCCUGAGAGGGUGACCGGCCACAUUGGGACUGAGAUACGGCCCAGACUCCUACGGGAGGCAGCAGUGGGGAAUAUUGCACAAUGGGCGGAAGCCUGAUGCAGCAACGCCGCGUGCGGGAUGACGGCCUUCGGGUUGUAAACCGCUUUCGCCUGAGACGAAGCGUGAGUGACGGUAAUGGGUAAAGAAGCACCGGCUAACUACGUG
rnacentral:rRNA from 1 species